rnacentral:rRNA from 1 species
CAGCAGGCGCGCAAAUUGCCCAAUGCCAAAAACUUGGUGAGGCAGCGAAAAGAAAUAGGCCUCCUUAACACCUUUCGGUGUUUGGGAGAUUCCAAUGGGGGAUAUUUAAACCCAUCGAACAUCGAGUACCAAUUGGAGGACAAGUCUGGUGCCAGCACCCGCGGUAAUUCCAGCUCCAAGAGGUAUAUUAAUGCUGUUGCU